CUGAGGGGGAAGUGAUUCCCUCUGACCGCGAGAAAGAGGUCUGCAAAGGGCAUAGUAGGCGGGAAACCGCUGAAGGCC
rfam:Betaproteobacteria bacterium RIFCSPLOWO2_12_FTLL_62_58 rifcsplowo2_12_scaffold_25624, whole genome shotgun sequence.